UCAAGCGAAUAAGGGUCUACGGUGGAUGCCUUGGAGCUGUCUGACGAAGAAGGACGUGGUAAGCUGCGAAAAGCGGCGGUGAGGAGCAAACAUCCAGUGAACCGCCGAUGUCCGAAUGGGGUAACCCGGCAUUCUGGAAUGGAUGUCACUGUAGAGUGAAUAAAUAGCUUUAUGGAGGAAGACUCAGGGAACUGAACCAUCUAAGUACCUGAAGGAAAAGAAAUCAAACGAGAUUCCCGAAGUAGCGGCGAGCGAAACGGGAAGAGCCUAAACUGCAUGUGUGCCAAGGCUUAUACCGUUGCAUAUGCAGGGUUGCAAGGGCUUAUUGGGGGAAGUAUAAGAUUCCCCGCUGAGUUACAAAACUUAUAUAUAUAAGAAUGUGUCUGGAAAGCACAGCCGGAGAGGGUGAAAGCCCCGUAUUUUAAAUAUAUGAGACUCAGUGGAUAAGCUCCUUAAGUAGGGCGGGACACGAGGAAUCCUGCUUGAAUCCGGGUGGACCACCAUCCAAGGCUAAAUACACGACAGCUACCGAUAGCGCAUAGUACCGUGAGGGAAAGGUGAAAAGUACCCCGGGAGGGGAGUGAAAUAGAACCUGAAACCGUAGACUUACAAGCUUGCAUCUUUGACGGCGUGCCUUUUGUAGAAUGAACCUGCGAGUUACUAUAUGUUGCGAGGUUAAGGGAUAGGAGUCCCGGAGCCGAAGGGAAACCGAGUCUUAAAAGGGCGAAUAGUAUCAUGUAGUAGACCCGAAGCCGAGUGAUCUAUCCAUGGUCAGGUUGAAGCUCUGGUAACACAGAGUGGAGGACCGAACCCUAGUCUGUUAAAAAAGGCAGGGAUGAACUGUGGAUCGGAGUGAAAGGCUAAUCAAACUCGGAAAUAGCUGGUACUCCCCGAAAUAGCUUUAGGGCUAGCCUCAUAUGGAUAUUAUUGGAGGUAGAGCACUGAAUGGGCUAGGGCCCUUCACCGGGUACCAAACUCAAUCAAACUCCGAAUGCCAAUAAUCAAUAUAUGGGAGUCAGACUGCGGGUGAUAAGAUUCGUGGUCGAAAGGGAAAGAGCCCAGAACGUCAGCUAAGGUCUCAAAUCUAUGCUAAGUGGAAAAGGAAGUUCAGUUGCAAAGACAGCCAGGAGGUUGGCUUAGAAGCAGCCACUCCUUUAAAGAGUGCGUAAUAGCUCACUGGUCGAGUAGCUGAGCGCCGACAAUGUAACGGGGCUAAGCAUGGAACCGAAGCUACGUCACUAUUAUUAGUGGGUAGGGGAGCAUUCUGUAGGCCGAAGAAGGUUAACUGAGAGGUUGGCUGGAGGUAUCAGAAGAGAGAAUGCAGGUAUGAGUAACGAAAAGAGGGGUGGGAUCCCCCUCCGCCGAAAACCUAAGGUUUCCAGGGUUAAGUUAAUCUUCCCAAGGGUUAGUCGGCCCCUAAGGUCAGGCUGAAAAGCGUAGCCGAUGGGAAACUGGUUAAUAUUCCAGUACCUCUCUUAAUUGCGAUGGGAUGACGCAUAAGGUAAAGCGUGGCCCGGCGAUGGUCGUCCGGGUUUAAACAACAAGGUGAAGAAGACAGUAGGCAAAUCCGCUGUUUGAGCCAAGUUGUGAAGACGAGUGAAACUACGGUGGAGCGAAGCAUGUGGAAUCAUCGUGCCGAGAAAUAAUCUCUAAGCACUAGAUUAAGAGGGACCGUACCGCAAACCGACACAGGUAGGUGGGAUGAGUAUUCUAAGGCGUACGGAAGAACUCACGUUAAGGAACUCGGCAAAAUACAUACGUAACUUAGGGAGAAGUAUGGCCCUUGGUGGAUGUUCUUUAAUUAGGACGUUUGUUGGGGGUUGCAGAUAAGAGGGGCAAUCGACUGUUUACCAAAAACACAGGUCUGUGCGAAUCUGUAAAGAGAAGUAUACGGACUGACACCUGCCCGGUGCUGGAAGGUUAAGAGGAGAUGUUAGCGCUUGCGCGAAGCUUCGAAUUGAAGCCCCAGUAAACGGCGGCCGUAACUAUAACGGUCCUAAGGUAGCGAAAUUCCUUGUCGGGUAAGUUCCGACCCGCACGAAUGGUGUAACG
rnacentral:rRNA from 1 species